GAGGGAAACAGUCCAAGCAGAGGAAAUGGCAUGGCUAAAGCCCUAGUGAAAAAGAGGCUAAUGUGGCUGGAAUAGAGAGAGAACCAAGGAAGACUGGCUUCCUGAGAUUUAAGGGAUAGGUAAGGGCAGAGCUCCAGUGACCCUUCAUGAGAAGAACAUGUCUGCGGUAGCCACUGGUCCAAGGAGAAUGAGGAAAUAUGUAGAGCAGCUUUGAACCUAAUCAGCAGUCUGAAGUCAAGCCCAGUGGAUUCCAGCCAAGCACAGCAGAACCAC
rnacentral:lncRNA from 1 species